UUCAGAAGCCAGCCUUCAGUGGCAGCUGAGGUUCAGUGGUAGCGUUCUCACCUGUCAGCCAGGAGGUCGGGGGUACAAGUUCCAUUCCAGAAAAUUCAUCACAAAAUGUGCCGCUCGAAGCAAGUUGACAAACCUGAGAAA